rnacentral:rRNA from 1 species
AUUGAACGCUGGCGGCAGGCCUAACACAUGCAAGUCGAGCGAGCGGCGGACGGGUGAGUAAUGUCUGGGAGACUGCCUGAUGGAGGGGGAUAACUACUGGAAACGGUAGCUAAUACCGCAUACCAUCAGAUGUGCCCAGAUGGGAUUUGCUAGUGGGUGGGGUAACGGCUCACCUAGGCGACGAUCCCUAGCUGGUAUGAGAGGAGGACCGGCAACACUGGAACUGGGACACGGUCCAGACUCCAACGGGAGGCAGCAGUGGUGAAUAUUGCACAAUGGGCGCAAGCCUGAUGCAGCCAUGCCGCGUGUGUGAAGAAGGCCUUCGGGGUGUAAAGCACGUUCAGCGGGGAGGCGUUACCCGCAGAAGAAGCACCGGCUAACUCCGUGCCAGCAGCCGCGGUAAUUC